rnacentral:rRNA from 1 species
UGUGCCAGCAGUCGCGGCAACACAAUAAAGACUAGUGUUAUUCAUAUUAAUUUGGUUUAAAAGUGCAUAGACUGUAUAUUAUAAUUUAAUAUAUAAAAUAAUAAUAUACUAGAGUUAUUAUAUUAGAAGAUAAGUAUUAUAGAGUAGAUUUGAUAGUCAUAAAUCUAAAAGGUAGAUAAAUAUGAAAAUAUAUCUUUAUUAAUAACUGACGUUGAGGAACGUAGCUUUGGGCAGUGAAUAGGAAUAGGUAACCUAGUAAUCCAAAGUGUCAAUGAUGAAUGUCAUAAAUUAAAUUUUAUAAAUGAAAAUGUAAGCAUUCUACCUUAAGAGUAAUAUGGCAACAUAGAAACUGAAAUCAUUAGGCCGUCCUUGGGAUAAGCAGUGAGGUAUGUUGUUUAAUUCGAUAACCCUCGAUAAAUCUUACCAAAACAUGUAUUUAUACAGGAGUUGCAUGGCUGUCGUUAGUACUUGUCGUAAGACAUAUUAGAGUUAUGGAAAUUA